UGUUUACUGGAGAUGGCAGCAGAAAAGAAAUGAGGAGAACUGUAACCGCAUCGAGCUCUCCGCCGCUGAUACAAGAUAAAGGAGUCAAAUCGUGUGUGGUUUCCUUCAGACCAAGCUUGUGGUGCAGAGUUUCAUGAAUGAUGUUGUCCAAAGUCAAAAUAAUCUGGUUUGCCCAAAGGUAUUUCUAUGAGGACUGUAAGGCUGCAGAUCUCUACAGAAUGAGAGAAGAGGUCCAUUUGUCCUUAGCACCGUGCUCAGCCUUGGCCCAGUGCACAUGGAGGAUAAAUGCCCUAGGAAUUAAUAGACACUCGGUUGAUCUAUAGUGGCUAGUAGGGCAAUCCAGCUUUAAAAGGGGCAGGUUUUGUGUUAUCAUACUCACUGUCUCAGCUGCUCUCUCCACUGAUGGGGUUUUUUUGUCCCACUGCUGUGUCCGAGCGGUGCCACUGAUGGCUCAGGGACACGGGGCUGUCCAGCUUCAUGCAGCCCAACAGCCGAGCCCUGCUGAGGCCCUGGUGCUGGCUGAUGGAGAAAAUAAAGAGCAGCUGCUUGUUUCUUUUCAAGAGUAUCAGAAAAACAAGAAGACAGUUCACUCCCAGUGUGCACCAAAGGCUUCUUCAUCCUUUUCACUUUCACCCACACAAAUGGCAAUCAUUCCUCUCUGCAUUUCUCUUUGGAGCUUUUCCAGUGUAUUGCACUGAUGGUCUUCCCUUGCUGUAGACCACUCUAAAAGCAGUGAAGGAGCUGUGCCCCUCCUGCCUCCCAAGAAAAAGAGGUGAAGAAUCGCAGCCCCAGCCUCCUCCCUGCACCGAGGUGCUUCAUGCACAGCGCUCUGCAGCCUCCCAGAGCCCUGCAGAAGGCUUGGUUUGCUCACCCGAAAUAGGACGCCUCGCCCUCCCGCUGAGCACAGCACAGCCAUGGUCCACACGCUGCCUUCGUAGGAAGCACUGAUACCAACCGGUCCCUGCAUUACUGCAGCCAGGUUUGCAGUGUUCCACCAAAAGCCACCCUUUGCUUGGCCAUGCCCCAUUCCUCAAUUGUGGUUGGGUUUGUCCUGAGUCCUUCAGGCUCUGCUUUGUAGGGCUGCAUGUGGUGCAGAAACCAGCUCUGCAAAUAAGCUCACAUCACUGCAGUGUCCUCCAUGUCCUGGUGGGUGGCUGUUGUGACCAAUGCCUGCUGAUUCCUGAGUGGGCCCCAGAGCCACAGCAUUGGGCUCAGAACCUUUCUUCUGCUGAGGAAGCUUUUAAUGGCUCUGGACUGGAGGCUGUCACCUUGUGGCUGAUGAGAUGUUGAACCUCCCAUACGGCCGAGGGCAAGUUACCAGUGUCCUGGAGGGGCAAAGGGAGAGAGAGCUGGUACUCAGCCCGAAACAGAGCUGGAAUUCCCAACUGUGAUGUGUUUAUGUGGAUGGAGCAGGAGGAAGCAG
rnacentral:lncRNA from 1 species